GCUUGAGUAAAGGGAAGAUGCUAGACAGCAGAAGCAUGAACACAUUGCAUGGCGGUGCAGACUAGAGCCAGGGAGUGGAGAGGAGGGACCUGAUUCAAGACGGCCUGUGAAGCAGGGUGAUCACUACUGGAUAGACAACAGGAAAGAGGCCUGGAGAAUAACCCUCAGGUUUCUGGCUCUGUCUUCAUGGUGAAGUCUACAUUUCUUAAAACGAGACGAAAGGCCUUCAAAAUCUGAGGUCCUCAAAGUCUUCCCCUGGCCCCCAAGUGCCCUAGUUCCCUGGUUACCCUUCAGGGGGAAUUUCUGGAACUCCUUUUUGCACUGAGGCAGCCUCAAAUGACAAAGAGCUUCAGGCAAAGGCACCCCACCCCCCCGGAUUAAUGUGUGGAAGACAGACUCACAAAGACACCCGAAGAACUUCAUCUUUCAGAUACACCCCUUCCUUAAGGCUCUUAUUAAAGAGACCAGCCUUGUCCUCUAUAAAUUCCUUUGAGACAGAGCAAAGGACUAUACAAAGAGCGCUGUAUGAGUCUUUAAACUUUCAAGGAACAUUUUUUUCCCAAAAGAAAUCUUAGGAGGAAACUCAAUGUAGAAAACAGGGAAAGGGGCACUCUGGAUGAAGCGUGUGUGGGGGGGACACUCUUGGAGUCCUGCCCACUAACCACUCAGGGAAUCUGCUUUAACCUUGGGAGUCCUCUCAGCACCUUCCCAAGCCCCCUGAGCCAUAGAACUCCAUAGAAAAGCCUAUGGACUUCGUGAGUCAUGUCAGGGACUCAGAGCUGCAGCUGCAGUGUUCCAGGUUCUUAUGAAGAUCACAUUUGUGUGGCCCUUCCAGUCAACACUUGUGCUGAUUUAUGGAAAUGCUCCAUUACUGAGAUUACAUUUGAAGGGAACAAAAGCCAGAACAAUCUCUUAGGUAUGUCUGCCUAAAUUGUUUUCUGCAUCAAUAGAGUAUAGUAACUCAGAAGAAGCAGAGAAAAUCUAAACUACAGAACAUUUUCUUAAAGUUCAGUUUCAUUCAUUCCAACUGCUCAGAUGAAUUGCUAACAAAGUGGUUCUCCUCCUGCCAAGACUGCUUUAAUAAAAAAGAAGGUUCAUUUGUAAAUAGUGACAUCAGUGGUAUCUAAGUCCUUAAAAAUAGUUUGCUCAUGUAAGUAGGCAGAACAUGCCCCCUUCAAUGCUAUUUACACUCUAAAUUGGCUUCACAUAGAUGAAGCCUUUCUCAUAGAUGGUGCAGGGUAAAUUUCAUCCCAGGUCAGCUCAGAUAAUCAUAAAUUCUAAAUGAGUCGAAUCCAAAUGGAAGUAUUUACUAAGUUCAAGCAUAAGUUCUAGGGGGACAGAAUCAGUGUUUGGGGUCAGAUUGCAAAGGGGAGAAGAAAGAUGGAAGCCCUGGGAGAAGGGUGCCUGUGAGAGAAAGAGGGUCUUCUUGUUUAUCACUGGCCCUGACCUGCACCCUAAGCACCUCGAGGCCAACCUGCGUGCACCACCCCAGGGUGGAAGGGCAUCUCAGGCCAUCUUCUACGCCACCCCUGCCUGCUAAUUCCAGAGCAUCUCGGAAGCAGAGUGCCAGGCUUCCCUGGACCAUCCCCUAAUGCGAAGGGAAACUGCACCACUCAAGAGAAGGUAAACCGAACCCAUUUUUAAAGACACAUAAAUGAACCAUUUCUAUUAACCUCUCUGGCUGUGAGGGCUCACUUCAGAAUUUUUUCCCCACUGAAUCACACGGCAAUCCUGUCUUCCAGAGUUGAGGUUCUCUCUCUUCUUUUGUUCUCAAGGGUGACUAGCCAGCUAGUUACCCAUCUUUUUCUGACCAUCCCAGUAACCUCAGAUGUAUGUGAAGUCUGCACUCAAGGCCUCCUUCAGCCUUCUCUUCACCAGGAUAAACGACCCAUGAUGCACGAAGACUUCCUAACAAUCUUGCUUUGCCAGACCGUCGUUCAGAACCACGGCGGGCAGCACAGCAGGAGCGGAAACCUCCUCAGCACCGGCGCUUUGCUCUCAGCUCCCUGGUUUGUGUCUUUCUGGCAGCGCUGUGUCAGCUCUGUCACCUUGACCAAUGGGACACGUUUUGGGGAAAACCAAAUAAGAGAGGGAGUGGGUGGAAGGAUCAGCAAGCAUCCAGCUGGGGUUUAGCUCAGGUGCUUUCGAGAUGAAAGGAUUUUUGUUUUUCACCUGUCUGCAUGUUCUUAAAAAAAACAACAGGGCAUUGUUUUAAAAUGUCACCAGGCAUCUGUGCAUCGCUGCACUCGUAUCGGAUCUCGGCAGCACUCAGGGAGGCGCUGGAGUGUGCGCAGGGCCGUGUUCCUGCUGCGCCGGCCGCCUGCAGCUGGCCGUGCGGCCCAACUGCACAUUGAAGGCUCAGGCCCUCCUCACCUGGUGACUGGCUGCUGAGGCUCAAGCCUGAAUUCCUUGGUCUCUCAUUGUUACGUGCAGCUGGUCUGGCUCCAACCAGCUGUUAGAAAUUUAUUUCUAAUAGAGCUAAUGUUUUAAAAUCAUUUUUGCCAGAAAUCGAGGCACGCCUGAGCCUCCCUGAAGUCGUGGAACACACUCCUCUCCCCGCGGAGUACAGUGAGAAUUACGUUCAUUAGAAUCUUUUCAUAAUGAUAUCCUUGCUAUCAAAGGGCACAGAGAUGAUUGACCUUGGCAUCUAGGAUUAAGGCAGCAUUAUUUUUCUUGAUUACCAGCAGCAGAAUAGAAGGGAAAUUAUAAAGCCAUUGAGAGGAUUAAUACAGCCUUGAUCUCUCUCUCCUGGCUCUUUAUCUCAAGUGAUUAAAAUUCUGCAGGAAAAAAAAAAAUGGUCAUGUAGCAUACGCUGGCUGCCACAGACAGAUACAGUAUCAGCUCCAUGCAUCAGCUUGCCGUGACAGCCUGUGCAAAGGUUAAUUAUGCAUGCUGUAUAUAGUUUUAAUCACUUUAAUCAGAGCACUGUUCCGCUACAGACCAGGCUAUAACUUCUCUACAAGCAGGGGAAGCACUUCGGGCAUGGUGGUGUUUGUGUAGUGGAAAAAAAGAAAAGAAAAAUGGUACAUUAAUCACAAAAAAGAAAGAUAAUGCAAAAGCUAUUGACUGAACAACAAGAUUAAACCAGGUGUCUGUCCAUCCUGAACACGCAGGGAAUGGCUGAGAGAGGCUGGAGGAGUGGUGCCUGAGCACAGAGCUGCAAGCAGGCUGCUGGCUGCUGGGAGGUGAGGCUGACCGGCUCUUCUCUGCCCAAACUCUGAGGCGCAGCCUGGCACCUUGGGAUGGGCAUGAGGUCCAGGGGUCAGGAGGGCUAUGGCCUCUGCAUCCAAGUUCUGUGUCCCCGGGCAAGUGGCUGGGCCCCCGGGCCUCGCUUACCACCUGUUGCACCUGAUAACCUUCCAGGCACUUCUAAAUCACUGCAAGCUUCUCCGCUGCAAACCAUCCGAUUUAUUAUUGUACCUCCACCCUUAUCUAGUAACUGCAAGGUCAGUGCCGAAUAACGACCCGUGCCAAACCAUUCACAUUUGGCUUUAGACCAGCAUGCACUCUCAGUCACCCCCUCUGCAGGCCACAGUGUUUCGCCCUUACAAUUUCUUGGUUUGGUUUCACUGUCAAAGAGUAAGAAUAUGAAAAGCUUUGUUGAUGCCGUGGAUAAUUGAAAAACUAGGCAAGGUACUAAACAGAGAACACUGAGAAUUAACUGUGCCCGGAGAAGAGAAGAGGGAGACGGUGGGUACGAUCCCCAAAGAGGAAUUACUGACAACAUAUACAAGUUGUCAUCCAAGGACUCAUCAGGACAACUUCACAUUUUUCAUUAUGAUCAUCUGUAUUAGAAAAUGUUAGAAAUAUUUUUUUUGAUCUUGACCUGAGUGGCAAUUACAUGGGUGUGUUUACUUUGUAAUAAUUCAUUCAGCUGAGGUUUUUACACUUUUCUGUACGUGUGUUAUACUUCCAUUUAAAAAAUUUAAGUGUCACGGGGCAACCCUGAAGUGAGGAGAAAAAUCGUAUUUCCUCUAGGAAUAGAAGCAAUGACUCUUCCGAGGCACGAAGGCAGGUGAAGGGAAAAUCGACAGCGGGCCUUUCCCAUGCUCUUUCUCUCUCAACCCUCUGACUUCAGACCUCACUGUGUCAUCUGUAAAGAGAGACGGUUCCCCAAAAUGAUACUUAAGACCCUACCACGACUCUCGUAAAUACAGUUUUAAGAGUUGCUAUGACAAACACUUGGCAUACGGUUAAAAGCUUUUGUUUAUUUUUUAAAUAAUGGAGAUUUUAAAAAAAAAUUUAACUAUGAAGAAAUUUUAAAAAGAUAUUAUUUGAUUUUAGGGAGAAAGUGUUCUUACUUAUCAAAGAAUAUAGAAAUUUUAUUUUAAAACUCCCAAAUGUGGCGAUAUGGAUAUUACAAAUGCUUUAAUAGGAGUAUAACUUAGACCAGCCUUUUCCAAGUGAGUUUGGCAAUAUGCUUCCUUAUUUAAAAUUUGCAUUCCCUCUGUCCAAGAAAUCCACUUCUAGGAAUGAAUUCUAAGAAAAUAACUGUAUGUAUGAAAAGAUAUACACAAAAGGCAGGUCACUGCAGUUCACUGGAAGUAAUCUAAAUGUCCAUCGAUGAACAUUCUUCCAAAUUUACUUAAUUUGGAAAAUCCACAUAAUGGCAUUCUUUGAUGGCGUUAUUUACUCACAUGGAAACAUGUUUGUGAGAUAACGUUAAGUGAAAAGGAAGUUAUAAAACAUUAUAUUUAGUAUAAUGCCAUUCUUGUAGAUGUGUCUAUUUUCACAGAAAAAAGCGUGGAAGGGUAUACUUCAAAAGUUGACAGUGGUUAACUCUGUAUGAUAGGAUUACAGGUGAUUUUACAUUUAUUUUUCUGUAUUCUCUCACUGUUUUAUAAUCAAAAUAAAAAAGGAGGAAAUAACCUCAAGAUUUGUGGCUGGAAAACAGAGAAAUGUCUCCGUUAGAUACAGUUCACAUCUCUAAUCAAUUAAUCAAUUCCCAAAAAGAUGUGAGUUCAAGGGAAGGCACCCUGAAGUACAAGGCAGCGAAGGAGCAUGCUCUUUCUCUCUUGGAGAUACGUAACAUCCAACGAUGUCAUAAUAGCAGCUACCUUCUGCUGAGGGCCCACUAUGUGCAAGGAACCACUCUGCCUUGGUUAAUCCUCAUAACAACUCUGCAAGAUGGAGAUUAUUACCCCACAUCUGGAGGAAACCGGGGCUCAGAGAGGCUGACUUCCAGUGCUGGGAUGGGAGAGAAGAAGGGAUGGUGCCCAGCAGGUCCAAAGUAACCUAACUGAUGAGUGGAUUUCAGCACAUAAGAGUGUGUCACCACCCCGAAGCCACCAUAAGUAAAGGCCCUGGAGAAGGAGAGGCUAUGAGGAAAAGCCGCCUUGGAAGGAAACCUCGCCCAGCACGCAGCUGACCACAGGUGGGUCAGAGAUGAACCCCAGCCAAGUCCUUCCCAAUUCAUGACCCACAAAAUCAUGAGGAAAAAAAAGGCUGUAUUAAACAACUAAAUUUGGGGGAUAGUUGUUACCCUUGAUAAGCAAAAAUAUUACCUUUGUUCAUCCCUGCUCCACUAUCACAGAUUUAUUACUUUGUCUUUAUGGUAUACUUUGGGACCUAAUAGGGAAAUUCUUCUCUCUUUUUUUAGUCCUUGCAAAACUUGUGUGAGGACUUGCACUUCCAGAAAGAUGGUGUAGAUGUAUUUUUCCCUAUUCCAGCCAAUCACAACUAAAAAUCCUGGGCUUUAUAUAUAAAGAAACAUAAGAAGACCCUGAAAGCUGUCUAGUGGCUCUUGGUGGUGUGCUCAUUUCUGUAUUUGAGAUUCCACACUGGAACAUCUAUUCACUGCAGUGAGAAGAGGAGGUGAAUGUACUGCUGACCAGGACGCCUAUCUAGACAAUCUUCUGGGAUGAGCCAUCUAAGGUCCGGAGAAUUUAGGUAACUUUCCCACAGUCACAAAACUACGAAGUGGCGGAGGUGAGAUUUGAACUGAGGUCAGAUUCCCAAACCCCUCCUCCUCAAUCACACCAUGCAUGAGAUUUGGCUCCAAAAAGUUUUCUAAGUAAGUGAGAUUUACUAUAUCAUUCUCAAACGCUUUCCAGAGCUAUAAUCCCUAUUUCAUAUUCUCAAAUUAAGAAAUUUGUAAAGCUUUAUUUCUUUAAGUAAAAGUAAUGCAAACAUAUACAUGCACAUAUACAAUGUCUAAUUACAAACAGUUUCUAGCAGAGCUGUCAAUAUUAAAAUUCAUUUGAUUAAAAAAACACAAUUGUAAAACAUGAGACAGACUAGACUGUGUGGUCCUUGAGGACAGUCAUGUUUAUUGCUAUGUUGCCAACAGCUGACAAUGAAUGCCGUCCAAACUUUGAAGAAUAAGUGAACAAACUCCAGAGUCUACACUCAGGACCUCAAACUGUUUCCAAGAUCAGUCUGAACAGUAGAUUGCUUUCCACCAUCCCAACCUGCAAAAUCAAUACACACUGGACUUCACCCAAAUGGCAAACACUGCCUUAUGCUACGUAGGGAGAUAGAACUAACUUGUGUAACCACAAGUUAACAUUGUGCCUUCACCGGAGCUGAUUGUCUCAGAAAGCCUCUGGGGGCAAGUGACUUCUAUGACAAAGGUACAUGGUAUUUAAAGACUAAAGAAACUUAUGUUUUUCUUUUCUUAAGUAGCGUGUUUUAAAAUAAAUUUCAAGAAAGAAAUUUUUAAACAAAUGUCACCUCUCUCACCUUUUGCCAGACUUAUAAAACCGAUGUGUUUCCAAUCGUGAUGGCUGAUGACAGCACUGUAUCCACGACAGUGAACCACAUCUUCCAAACACGUGAGUUGUCCUUCAAAGACCUUAGACCACCCAUCGCUCUGGGCUGGUCAGUUUGCUAUGCUUCCACAGGACAUCAGCCAGAACCAUUUUCAUAAUCAAAAUUUCAAAAUGACUUAAAUAAUCCCAAGUAAAAACAAGAGUAGCCCCACCCUCUUGUACAUAGCUCAUUUUCACAGGGGACUGGGAAGUGGCAGUGGGUCUGUCCUCUAACCUGGUUGUCUACAAAAAUGCUUGAGGCAAAGCAGAUAUCCUGUCAAAGCGAUCCUUCCUUCUCUUUUGUUCACCCAGAUUAACUCAACUUCAACUCCACAAGCAAUUCCUCCAUGCAGCAGCAGCAUUAAAUAGUUUAAAAUACACUUCAAACACACAGUUCCUAUUAGGAACACACUUUUCUCUCAUUUGUCAAAAUCUGACAGGGGUAUGAGAAUGAACUACCUUAUUUAUAGAUCUUAUUCUUUAAUAACAACACUUUAAAUCUUAUUUUUCCUCCUUUAGGGGGUGUCUGAAGCUAUUUAGCCACCUCACCAGUCCUUUUCCAAAGGCCAUUUUUUCUGUGUUCACAGUGGCGACCUGUGAGGAAGGUUUGCUGCGGGCCUAGGUACACUCACCCGGAGGCUUGCCCAUAAAUCACACACCCAAGCCGCCUGACGCCCCUGAAUCCUACCUAGCGAAUGAGGCUCUUCUUUUGAAAUAUACAUUCUCACAACACCUGUAUGAUUGGCAAGUUUUCACAUCAAAGGUAUUACUUAUCUAAAUUAUUAUUUCCUUGGGAUUAGUAUUUUCAAAAUGUAGCUCCAUUAAAGAGAAAACUAGUGACAAAGCAAGAAUAUAAACACAUAAUACAAAGAAGCAUAUUAUGCUCCCAUCUUUAUGGAAAUGUGAAGUAUAAAUUAAUUUUAACUGAGAUUUUUAAAUAUGUUAAAUAUGUAUCAUUAACAUGAAGCAGAAAUUAAAUAUCAGUUUCUUAAGAAAUAUGAAAGAAGGAUAAUUCCUUCAUUAAAAUGUUAAUAUCACCAAAUAAUUCAAUUAAAAAAAGACUAUAUCAUACUUCAAGAAAGACAUUGUCUCCUAAAAGUUUAUUAUUCAUAGUAGAUAGCAUCUUUGUCUGCUUUUAACAAGCUUUAAAUGCAUUUUAAUAAGAUAAUAACUUUUACUUCAACAAGUGAAAAUUCCAACACGUAUUGUAUAAUUUUGAGUUACUAAUAAUGCACACAUGGGAUUUUUUUUUUCAGUUAGUCCAUCUGAUUUGGUCAAAAAACUCAGACAAUUUUGAGAAAAUUUUUAAAAAGCGUCUUAUCUUAUUAAGAAAAAACUAAUAUACAAUAAUUAAUUAAAGUAAGACAAUAAUAAUAAAGUGUCAUUUUACUUAAUAAUUAAAUAACAAUAAUAAUUAAAAUAAGCAUUAUUUCACUACCUGCCAGGCGCUGUUAUAAACACUUCACGUGUAUUUAUUUAAUACUUAGAACGUUCCUGCGAGGUAGACGUCACUACCCCCUGCACUGGACACACAAGGAACUGGGAGCAGAGAGGAACGAUGAGCCGCUCUGCGGGGCCACGCACCUUGCCAGCGGCGCAGCCAGACUCAGAGGCACGUGCCAUCCCCCAGGCUGGCACUCUGCACUCUGCGUGUGCUGUCUCUCUUAGCCGGCUUGUGUUAUAGGAUAGUGAUAAGGAAGAAAGUAACAAAUAUAGAAGGAUACGCCCUCUUCCACAUUUCACCUUGACAGACCACAUCCAAGAAACCCGACUCCGCCCCCCAGUCCCUUCUCACUGGUGAAUUACCGGUCAUUUCGACUUGUGAAAAUACAUAUUAUUCUUCCAAACCUCUGAAUUCUCUUUCUAGUAAAGCUACUAUGUUAUCGUGGUGCCAAACACGGCCUUCAUAAUUAAAGGUCUAUUGGCUUUUCCAUGAUACACUCCCUCUGUGAGGUUUGGAACAGCUUUUCAAAAAGAGACUUACUGAUGAUCUUUGAAAGUUACAUAGAUAAGUACAAUAAGAAAAGAAAAGAAACAAACGAUCCCACUACCCAAAGGACUGUUUGUUGUAAUACAGGUAAUCGCUGCCAUCAGCAAUAUUCCAGUCUGUUAUCAAAAUGUGCCGUCCUGUCAGAAUCAUUGGUCAAAAUGAAUUCUGCAUCCUGCUUUAAGCUGAAAUUCACCAGUCAGCAUAAGGUUAAAAAGAUCUUCCAAACUCAACAUAUUCUCUCAGACAUUCUCUGAAGUCAAAAAUUACUGUCUCAAUCAAUGAAUAUAAACAUCAAACUGUUUAAACAAAUUUUCCUCAAAAAUGAUCUUUGUAAAGACUAAUAAGUCUAUUUUCCUACAAAUACCAAAGAAGUUUAAUUUCUUGCCAUCUGAAACUAUCAAUUCCAUUCCCAGCUCUGUACUGAGCAUUGUGCUUGACCUAUAGAUCUAAGCUCAAAAGGGAGGUGCUGUCCGGAAAGGAGCUCCAAAUGACGGGCGAGGCAAGUGCAUCAACCGCUGUGUACUAAGCAUCAUGACAGGACCACAAAUGAGCCCAGGGAGACUGGAUAUGAUUUCAGAAAGGAGGGGACAUCUGAGCCAUCUUGAAGACGAGUAGGGGAGUGAGGUCAUUCCAGGUCAGGGGAUUUGCUCAAGGAAUGGUGCGGCAGGGGAGGGGUGCGUUAAUUUGGGGAGAGGAGGGAAAAGUUGACAGGAAAAGUUGGGAUGGAGAAUUGAAACUCUAAACACGCUGGGACGCGUGUGAAGAGUCUUAAACACAAGACCAAGGAGUGAAGAGUUUAAGUUCUCAAAAAGAAAAAUGGCAUGUUCUAGAACGAGAAAUCUAAUGUCACUUCUGAAAGUCGCCUGGGGUGGAGGUGAUGGUUCAGAUGCCUGCCAGGAACUGGAAGGGAGGCCACUGCAGUAGACCUGUGCCCCUGGUAAGGUGUACCUUAGGAACACUAUAAGUAAGUGCUCUAAGUAAUCAACUUCCAGAUACUCAACUUCCCGACAUACUCUUUCCUAAAACUGUCUGCCUAAGAAGCCUCCUCAACUCCAGGCUCCCCCUCCCACCUUCCCUUCCAUGCUCACUCUUCUCCAACUUUAAAAAAGAGAGUCGUACUUCUCACCAUGCUGAAUCUUAAUGACUUAUCACAUUGACUAAAACCCUUCUGGGUACCAAAACAGAGAACCAGUUUGAGUUCCUUUCAUCAGGGCACCGAAACACGAAUGCCCUGAAUCCAUCUCAUUAAGAGAUGUGUUUCCAGACCUGUUGCUCUCUCACUAUCAACUGUGUCCUCCUACAACUAGAAAUCACAGGAUCAUCUUAAAUUCUUCACCUAGUUCCAUUAAUUUCCCAAGUUCUGUUCCUCUUAUUUCUGAAAUAAUAGCAAUUUUAUUUAGCAUAAACUGAGACCUGUAACAUGCUAUGCUGAGGGAGGUAUUUACUAGAGGAGCCUCCAGAAAUAGUACUAGUCAAGGCCACAGACAAGUCAGUGGUAGAACCAGGAUGUGAACCUGGUAUGCGCAGCUGCCAAGCCGAGUCUUUCAAUCUCUUCUAUGUUUAAUAAUUAUUUAUGAAAUUCGUAAUAUAUUUAAGGUAUUCUGAUCGACUGUGUCCUAAAAAUCAUAAUAAUAACUUAAUAUGGAAUUAAUUUUUUAAUAGAGUUUAUGGUCACUGGAAAUAAAUAACAGAUUUCAAAUGCAGUUUAUACCCGUGCACGUGUGUGCAAGCACAUGCAUGUGUUUGAGUGCAUAUGUGUAAGUGCACACACAUGUGCAUAUGUAUGUAUGAGUAUAUGUAUGUAUGUUGCAGGAAAGCACGAUCAGGUGAUCAAUAAAGAUUUCUGAAGCAUAAAAGAAUAUUAUAUUAAGAUAACAGUCUGUGUGUGGGGGAAGCAGAAUUUGAUAAUGAACCAGCGCCACCUCCACUGUCAAAGGAAAUGUUCCCACGUACUGUGGAAAUAGAGACGAUAUCAAACCACCAUGGUAUUUACAUAUUCCAGUGGGUCCAGUCAGCAGAAUGAUGUAACAGUUUUAUUUUUAAAUGUCAAAAUUUACAAUAAAUAUUCCUUGCAACUAUUUACACUUAUGAAAAAGUUUUAAUAUCUUUUUUAAAGUGUACAAGAAGGUACAUAGCUUCCGAAAGUACUUUCAGGAGGAAGAGCAGAAAAAACCUCUGAAGGGUCCUCGUCCAGGCGAGAGCUGGGGAGAGCGUGACAGCGGCAACAAGGAGAAAGGAGACACCGAGAAAUGAGAGGUGUGCCAGAGGUUGAAAGCUUGGGCUUGGCAGCUGCGUGCACCAGGUUCAAAUCCUGGUUCCACCACUGACUAGUCUUGUGGCCUUGACUAGUACUAUUUCUGGAGGCUCCUCUAGUAAAUACCUCCCUCAGCACAGUAUGAUAUAGAUCUCAGUUUAUGCUAAAUAAAAUUACUAUUAUUUCAGAAAUAGAAUUGACAGAAUUUGGGAACUUAAUGGAACCAGGCGAAGAAUUUAAGAUGAUCCCAUGAUUUCUACUUUCAGGAUGGCUCAGUUAAUAAUGAGAAGGCAAUUGGGCUGGGCAAGACAUUGAGUCUGAGGAGUCCCUGGGACACAUGGACAGUGGUGUGUGCGUGUGAGAUCCAGGAGCAGAGCUCAGAAUCAUAAAAAGACCUGGAGGCUCCAGGCCUAAGUGACUGACAUUAACCGAACAGAGCUGUGGGGCAAGGUCAGCUAACAACAAAAACACACUUAAAAAUGAGGGCAGAAAAGAAAGCAUCUAAAAAAAGUCCUGAGCAAGAGAUGCUAGGGAGCUAGAGAACGUUGGAACACAGAGGUUCCAAAGAGAGCAGUCAACCUGUCCCAAGGGCCAGGGACAUGACCAGCACAGAGCCCUCGAUUUGGAGGUGGAAGGUUACCUUUCAUCUGCUGGUGGCAGCUCUAGGGGGAACCAGAGACGAAGCAGCCAGUUUCAGUAGACUACAAGGACCCCUGAGGGAGGUGGCUGAGGAGCGGGGAGUCAGAGGUCGCCUGAUGGCAAGCAGGGGAAAAGAUAUGAUUGUCUAGAAGAAGUGCUGAGGAUGCCUAUGGACAUCCAGAGGAAGGGGAAGACGGAGAAAGGAAACAGAGGCAGCUCUGGAGGAGACGGGCUCAGGGAAGUGGAGGUGUUUCAGGCUUGGGCGGGAGCCGGAAUGCCUUCCUGGAAUAGGACGGAGGUAAGCCAGAAGCAGUCAAUAUACACAGAUUUGGAGGGAAUUUAUAGAGUGGUGGCUGGUUUCCUUUUCCUUAAAGAAUCAGGAGCGUGUGGAGAGUGAGUCGUGCAGAACUGGGGUUUGGGGAGAGUGGCAUGCAUUAAAACAUGGACUGUGAUCCAAGAUGUGGCUCUCUACUAUUUUCAGAAAUGAGCUAUCAGUAGAUCAUCAAAUUCCUUAAGCAAAUGUCCUUCUCUUUUUAAAAUCAGAGGGCAGAAUUCCCUUAGCACAUUUAAAAUUCACCCCUUAUACUCUACUUAUUUUUAUGCCAUACACAUAAUUUAUGCAAAGUCUUUAUUGAGAUCCCUUUAAACCGUAUAUUAACUGCAUACCCACAGGGGUGUGCCCACGCAUUUUCCUUUUCCUGUGGGUACGUGUGCACACACAUGUGGUUGGGUGUGACCCCGUGAGCCCUUUUAUUAUUCAGUUCAUAAAAAUAUGAGAGAGUGUCAUUUAUCAGCAACCCAAACUUACAGUUAAUAAAAUUUCUGGGGCUCUCUUUCCUCCUGCUAUGUGCAGGUUACUCUCAUUUACUUCAAACAGAAAUACAUACGUGUUAUCAGGAAAUACAAAUCCAUCCUUCUUCUUUAAGUAAUUGGUAAUAGAGCCUAAAAUUAUUAAAUUGGAUUUCUGUAAAGUUGUAUAUAGGGAAGCAGCUCAAAUAAAAUAUCAUUUCUACUGACUUUAUUCCAGAAACCACAAUUUCAAUCUGUUUAUACUGAUGAUCCAGUUAUUUUCUAAAUGUAUUCUGUAAUUUUCUCUAUUCACUCAAAUACGUUAUCCUAUUUUUAUUAUUUUGGGGCUCACACAGCAAGCAACCUGUUUAGUGUUAAAUAAAUCUUCACUGCAAAUGGAAUUUCUUUUUAAUUGACUAGGCUGCUUUUGUAAAAAAAAAAAAAAAAAGAAAAGAAAAAAAUUAUGCAUGGAAAGAAUCCUAUCUGAAAUACCGAAGGGAGGCCCGCUGCUUGAGGGACACUGAGCCAAGAGCUGAUUUCUUCUAGGGCAUCUGCACCCUCUUUUCAAGUUGCACCAGCAUGCCCGGCAUCUGCAAAUUUCAGGCCAUCUGACAGCUCUGCGCUUGCUCUGCCCUCCAUCCUUUUGCUGGGUUUGGCUAACAACUCACAGUCUCCAAAAAGUUUUCCACCCUCCAGCCUGAAGGAGCUUUGCCUCCAACUCAGCGCCCCUCCCUCUCUGCAGUCCUCAACCGGGCACGUCAGGUCCACGAGAACUUUCUCGGUCAUUGCUCUGGACCCACUCCGGCAGUCGAGACCGCCUUCUCCGAAGCUUCGCUGAGAGCUGUCCCACCUUGCCUCCCUGGGCCAGGCCAUUAAGCCCAGAGAGCUCAUUCUCUGUAUCUUGUGUGAUUAACAGAUGUUCUGCUGAAACAUAUAUUCUGGCUAAUAAAGUAUUAUGUUAAAAGCCCUUUUCUUGAAAAAAUAAAAAUAAAAACACACUUAUUUGGCAAGCAAUGAUUGGAUUAAUUCAGGAGGUUCUACUCAUAAUAGAUUUUGAAUACGGGAUUGCACAUUUUAUAAAAAUUAAGGCUCUCCUUGAAUCAGACCAAAUCGGAAACGUGGUAGGUAAACAGGUUUGACUUUUGUCUCCAAGGCCUUAGGCAAACAGUGAUGUUACAUGUGUGGGACUCAUGCUGCAGAGCUGCUGUUCACAUUAAGUUAAGUGGGACUUUUAAAAGUGAUUUUCUCUCUCUCUCUCUCUAAAUUCUUUGUUGUUGAAAUUACAGUUAAGGAAGUGGAUUUUUCUUUGGUUUAGUGAAAUUUGGUUUCACAGUUCUCUGUUGGAAAAGAGAUUAAGCUUCAGGAAGCUGAAUAUCUGGGGAAGAAGACCAGCAAAGGUAUAGAUGCCAAACUUGUUUGUCCCCCGAGAGCCAG